UGGAUCGAUGAUGACCACUGGUGGCGUAUGAGUCCUAUGCGAUGAAUACAUGUCUGGAACUCUGAGGUCCAA
rnacentral:snoRNA from 1 species